AGCUGCCGCAGCGCGCCCUGCCCACCUCCCCCCUCAGUCCUGACAGGGCUCGGGGUCGGCCCUGGGGAGGGGUUAGUCCUGGAGGCUGGGCGGGGGGGAACUGCCCCUGUUGUUCAGGGCCCCCAAAUGGACGCUGCAGCGAAAGCUGAGCCCUUCCCGGCCUUCGUGUUGUCUGCUGCUCGACCCCAUGUGCCGCUUCCCCGUGGGCUUGUACCAAACAGGGACUUUGAUGUUUUGCAGUUCCUUAUGGGGAACAGCGCGUUAAUUUGGGUCUCCAAGAACUCCAGUAAUGUAAACGAUUGAGGGUGGAACAGCAGUUUAGGUACCAGAUUUUUGAUAAAUGGAUCUUCUGGAAUGGUUGAUACGCUUAUCAGCAUCAACAUACUACUCCGUGAUGGGAUUUCAGUUUGGCUUUCCAGGUUACAUUAAAAAUAAUAAUCCAGGCAACUAGUUUAUAUUUAAACAAAAAAAACAAAGCAAUUUCAAACUCCUUUCCCAACCUCACAAACCCAGAUAUGACACACAGAAGCUAUGCAUUAAAAGAAGGACAGAGCGUUAAAACCAUUUGCACACUUGUGCUCAAGUCUUUGUAUAUGAACAUCAUCAUUCAGUUUUCUAUGACGUGACUGUAGAGCCCAAAAGAUUUUGGUUGCAGGAGGCGAUACAGCUCUAGGGACUGGGCUUGUGUCAGGAGGGAGCUACCUGCUUUGUUUUGUUGCAGGAAUUGCGAGAUGGGUGUGGUGGGAGUCCUCUGGAGGAGAAGAGAUGAGCCCGUUCCUUGUCUCGUUGCACAGCACCAUUGCCAUCACCCCCAGAGGUCACCCAACGCAGGCAGCCUUGCCCUUGUCCCAGUUCCUGGUUUUAAUAUGGACAGAGGCCUGGGCAGCUCACAGUUCUUACAGCUGCCCCAAAAUCUGGGGAGCGAUGCUCUGAACCCCAUGAAAGUGCUGAACACUGGACCUGCUGGCUUUUUGCAUGUGUGCAAGGAUCUUGGAGGCCGUUGACCUUUGUCUUGCUGUGCCCCCAUGUCCCAGCUGUAAAAUGGAGGAGAUAAAAUGGCUUUGUCAGAGGGGAGUGGGAGUGUUUGCAAACAGCAAAUACCUUUUUAUUUUUUCCUCCUCCUUUUCCUUCUUUUUAUUUUUUUUAAGGGGUCACGUGGCAGUGUGCUAAGCACUGUGAAAACUGGGAUGACACAAAGAACUUUGCAUUCAGAGCAAAAUCCAGAGGGUGUUACGAGACAGCCAGUAAUGACAAUAAAGCCAAUUAUUAACUGGCUUCCUUUCAGUCAGCGGGAGCCUGUAUUUGUCAUUUAUAUUGGGGCAGAGGGAAGAUGCAGCUUGUGAACAAAUGUUGGGAGAGUUUAAAUGGGUGAAAUUUUAAAUGAGACUCCUUGUAAUAUUAACAGAAUGUAAGACUUGUAUCUGUUAAAAGCAAAUUUAAAAAUGAAGCCCCUUUCCUGCCCUUUAACUUAAAAUCUUACGAUUAUCUUAAACCCAAAAUGUGGCUUCAUUGUUCAUUUCCUUUUUACCAGAAUGUAAAAUAACAAGAGCUCGAGGCUUUAGGGUAUUUCAAAAAGUAAUCCUUUUUCAUUAUAACUUCUGGUAGUGUUUUAAUUAAAGGUAUUAGAAGAACUGUCAUGUGUGACACAGUUUAAAAUGCAUGUAUAGUGUGCUAGGAAUAGCUAGAAAGGGGAUUAUGUGCAUAACUUGUUCACUUGCAGUGAAGUAGGCUAGCUUCUGUUAUUUUUCACUGUUUAUCACCUGCAAUUUGAUCCUAUAUUUUUACAUGGCAAAGAGAGAGAAUGCUUUUGUGGAUGUUCUUUGCUGUUCCUCGUAUAUUUAGCAAAUUCAAGCUGUUUUAGGAAUGUUUGCUUCAUACUGAAAGAAAUGAACCUCGUUAAAGAAAGCUACAUAAGAUUUUGAUCCACAAUUAAAGAGAAGACCCAGGAUAUUUAUUUGGUUUUGUGAGAGGUUUUUAUUUCUUACUGAUUUGCCCCAGUGCCUUUUCCCAGCUCCCUCCAAAGUGUGCCAUCACAGCAUGUUUCGGCCCGUAUUUCUAUAGUGAAAUUUUCACUAUAGCCUUUUUCAGAGAAGGGCACACAGACUAACUCUGACGAGUGGUGCUGAGCUGAAGAAAUUGUAUGGUUUUAUCUGGCUGGCUUUGAGGCUCACACUGCACUGGCAGAGUGGCGAGAUGCAACCCUUCUGCAAACUUCAUGGCUGGAAGAUGGCGGUCCAACAGAAUCCUUAGUGAGCUCUGGGUGAUCUGGCGAUCGAAGUUU